AAAGUCGUAACAAGGUUUCCGUAGGUGAACCUGCGGAAGGAUCAUUAUUAAUAUUUUGGUUAACGCCAAUAAUAUAUGUGCAACGAGGGAGUGUCCAGCCUACUGUUCAUGUGCUUAAGGGUACUUGUAUGGUGGUUGGGCACUGCCGCCUGGGCUUGCCUAGGUUAUUUACCAUUGUUUAUCAGUCUUGAAAUCUGUCAUCAGGGAGUAACCGCAAGGUGCAACCUGCUCUGACUCUAAGGUGUAAAAACUUUUAGCAACGGAUCUCUAGGCUCUC
rnacentral:misc_RNA from 1 species